rnacentral:tRNA from 1 species
GGAGGAAUACCCAAGUCUGGCUGAAGGGAUCGGUCUUGAAAACCGACAGGCGGUUCAAACCGCGCGGGGGUUCGAAUCCCUCUUCCUCCUCCA